UUAUCAUUAUUGGCUUAUGAAGCACUGGCGAAAAUGUAAUUUUAAAAAAUAGCACUAUAGUAUAUUAUGCAACAAAUGUAGUAAACGGAAUUUGAGUCACGAAUUUAUUUAGCACAAGGGAAGCGCAGCGGAAAGAGUGCUUAAUAAACGAGUGACUUUAUAUAUUAUGCAACAAAUUUACCCCAAUUCUGUCACGAGUUUAUGUGGCACGAGAGAACGUACUUUGGCAGCUACGAAAUUUUCCCUCUCUACCUACAAAAGGAUUUUAAAUGAAACGUCAAAGGUUGCAGAAAACUCCAGUUGCUCAUGCAGCACUCCACAAAAAAAGUGUUCGGGAGUGUUCCUUUAAAAAAUGACAGAGAAUGUACUUUGGCAGCUAGGAAGGUUUCCCUCUCUACCUACCAAAGGAUGUUAAAAGAAAGUCAAAGGUUGCAGACAACCCCAGUUGCUCAUACAGCACUUCACAAAAAAUGCGUCCGAGAGUUUCUAGAAAACUCGACUUAGUAACUUGUAGUCAAAUAAAAUACAUCAGGGAACUGGUGUAUAAUUUUUAUAUAGUGGAGAAAAGGAGACCGAAUCGACUCUUAAAUUAAUCUUGGAAAAAAUAAAAGCAGUCAAUAAUUCGUCAGCCCAGAAGCAAAGCGUCCAUUGGGAGACUAUUAAGACAGAUUGGAUUCAGAUGGAGGAAGACUGAUGACAAUAGAACAGCACUAAUAGAAUCACAUGACAGAAAAAACAUUCCUUUUGACGAAGAAACAUUCUCGAAACCGGAAUUGUAUGAUUUAAUUUUAAAAAAUAAGUUGAAAUACCCAGCCAAAUAUAAACUCGGUGAGGUAUUGGAACAUCUUGGUCAUUGUCUUCUGCGACUACCACCUUACCAUCCAGAUCCGAUUCCAACUAAUCGAAUAUAUAUUUUUUUAACAUUGGGCCAGAAAAUCUUAGUUUACUUGAAAAUGACCUCGGCACUAGUAACUUGUGUCGAAAUAUAACACCUUCGAUGAAAAAAAAUCACAUUAGUGUUUAAAAGGACUUUUUUCAAACAUAAAGUGUUUUGGUUCUUUGACGUGAAACAUAAUUAAGAUGUGGUAUAAGUACAUGUUAGGUUACACUGCUGGCAUUUCGAUUUUUACUUUUUCAAAAGGUGUGAUAUUUUUUUAACCAUAGUAUUGAAGUGUUUUUUUAAGCAAAAUAUAAAAUUGAUAUAUUUUUUUAAAAUAUACCUUGUAGCCUUAGGAAAAAUAGUGUACAUUAGUCAUGUAAAAAGAAGUUUUCAAACUGAAAGAAUUUAAACACACAGCUUACGCCUUGUGUCAAAUACUUCUAGUUUGAAAAUUUUCAUUUCUUGUUAUUUAAUAUACCAUUAAUAUAAUCGUCUGCAAAGUAAAACAGUUCAACACAAAGUCAAAACAUAGCUGGUUUUUCUUCAUAAAAAAUAUUUCUUUGCCAAAUAUUUCUAACUAUUUGUUUUUGUUCCGUCCAGUCGGAAUUGUUUUGUUUUAUUUUUUCUCUUUAAUUUUUGUAAUUGGGGAAUUUUUAUAUCGAGCAAAUUGAAAUUGGUUUUCUUUUAAUUAAUUGCUGCGGUUAUAUUCUCCGCGUAUUUUGGUGACAAUCUCACUGGGUAUAUGGCCAGAAAAACUCGUAUGUCGCUUGGGUGUCGUACUCCGCUGUGAUCGGGACUAGUACGACUCAGGCAGAGACCAACGUGAGAGCAUUUUCCGCGUGCCAGAAUUAAUAUCUCGAGUGCCGUCAAGUAUUGCGAAAUUGUGCCGGUCAACAGCCAGAGCUACAUCAAGGUAGGCCAAGAAGAAAAGAGAUUGUCAUUUUUCGUCUCGUUACAUCAAUAUAUUAAUUUUUGAAUCGCCCCGUUAUUUCUAGCUUCAAUUUAACAAAAAAUUACAGUCCAUUGCUCUUUCUCGUCCAUUUUUUGGUCCUUCGAGCCGGAUAUUUAAUUAAUCGCGAAAAUAACGUGGCCAAAUUUCAGUUUGCUCGUUUCAAAAGGAACAGAAUUUAAAAAUUUGAGAUUUUUUGUGGUUCCAUUCGGACAGGUACCGAACUCGCACCGAUUUAACCUAGACGUCGCCGUCGCAUCCAACGAUCGAUCGCGCUAUUUUCGGCACUGCGUACUCGCAAAAAAUAUAUUGGUAUUUUCAAAAUUUUUUUGUCGCAUAAGGAAGAUUAUUAUUUCGGCGUUGUAUAUUUUUUGUUUAGCAUUUAAUUGUCGCAUUCUUUAAAUAUUCUCUCAAAUACUCUAAUUUAAAUAUUAGCUCGCUAAUCAAAAAAUUUACACGCCACUCUACUCUCGCUCUGUCCCCCAAUGAGCGAUAAAAAACUUAAAGGUUUGAUAGCUCAAAGAGAUAAUGCUUCUAGUCGUUUGAACGAAAUGUUCGCAGUGGCUACUCGAGCGUUAACAGAUAAUGCAAUUCACAUGGA